CUACGGGUCGCUGCAGUGAGGAAUAUUGCGCAAUGAGCGAAAGCUAGACGCAGCAACGCCGCGUGAGCGAAGAAGGCCUUCGGGUUGUAAAGCUCUUUUCUGUGUGAAGAGAAGGACGGUAGCACAGGAAUAAGUGUCGGCUAACUACGUGCCAGCAGCCGCGGUAAAACGUAGGACGCAAGCGUUAUCCGGAUUUACUGGGCGUAAAGCGCGUGCAGGCGGUCAGUUAAGUUAUGCGUGAAAGCUCCCGGCUCAACCGGGAGAGGUCGUAUAAAACUGAUUGACUUGAAGGCAGCAGAGGCGUGUGGAAUUCCAGGUGUAGUGGUGAAAUGCGUAGAUAUCUGGAGGAACGCCAGUGGCGAAGGCGACACGCUGGGCUGUACUUGACGCUAAGACGCGAAAGCGUGGGUAGCGAACGGGAUUAGAUACCCUCGUAGUC
rnacentral:rRNA from 1 species